UCACGCGUGGCAUAGCUAUAUCACACAGUGACGUAGCCGUGUCACGCGGUGACGUGUCACGCGGUGGCAUAGCUAUAUCACACAGUGACGUAGCCGUGUCACGCGGUGCCGUGUCACGCGGUGACGUAGCAAUAUCACACAGUGACGUAGCCAUGUCACGCGGUGGUGUGUCACGAGGUGACGUAGCGAUAUCACACAGUGACGUAGCCGUGUCACGCGGUGGUGUGUCACGCGGUGACGUAGCAAUAUCACACAGUGACGUAGCCGUGUCACGCGGUGAUAUGUCACGCGGUGACGUAGCGAUAUCACACAGUGACGUAGCCGUGUCACGCGGUGGUGUGUCACAUGGUGUUGUAGAAGCGCUGGCGACUGAGCCGUGUCAGCGGGUGCGUGCGUCCCUGCGGGUGCGUCCGCCGGAUCUCCAGCACCGGAUCUUCCUCGCGAGCGAACAGCGCGUUGAACUUACUCUCCGCGCUCACCCGCGGCUUCUCGCCGCCGCCGAUCGACCGCCUAGAGGGCGCCGGCGUGCUGUCGAAGAUCGCGCAGCGUUGCGCGACGCUGUCCGUCCGACACUUCGCGUCGAACGGGUACGUCUUGCGAUACUUGUGCGUGUUCGCACGCCCCGCUCUCGUCUCGCCGCCCCCGGCCAGCAGGGCGGCACCAGCAGAGGCGGCGGAGGGGCCGAGCAAGGUGGCGCCGGCGGUCACGGCCGCGGAGCAGACCGAGCGCGAACGUCCG